rnacentral:misc_RNA from 1 species
GAUGAAGAACGUAGUGAAAUGCGAUAAGUAGUGUGAAUUGCAGAAUUCAGUGAAUCAUCGAAUCUUUGAACGCACAUUGCGCCCCAUGGUAUUCCGUGGGGCAUGCCUGUUCGAGCGUCAUUUACCCCCUCAAGCUCCGCUUGGUGUUGGGCGUCUGUCCCGCUUCGCGCGCGGACUCGCCCCAAAGGUAUUGGCAGCGGUCGUGCCAGCUUCUCGCGCAGCACAUUGCGCUUCUCGAGGCACCGGUGGGCCCGCGUCCAUCAAGCUCACCCCCCCAGUUUGGCCUCGGAUCAGGUAGGGAUACCCGCUGAACUUAAGCAUAUCAAUAAGCGGAGGA